GGGAAUUCCUUUGUUUUUUUUUUGACAAUAUGUGGAUAAUUACACAAGUGUGAAUAAACCCAUUCUGAGUGGGUUUGGUGUGAACCACUCUGUUGUGUAGAAAACUGUAAUUAGAAAACUGCUGGUGGAUGAGCCAGGGGCCUCUUAAAGCUUCUUCACAGGAAGUUAUUACACCAGAGGUAAAGAAUGUUUUGCCUCAUGUCACAGACCACUGAUGUGCCAGAGUUUUGUGUAACUUGCGGGUCUAAAAUACGUUUUUCAUAGAUUUAAAAUGAUUGAGGGAUACAUGUAGAGGUGUUGUGUAUGUGGGGUGAAAACAACUAUUCUAAUGUGCCUUAAUAAUUAACAUUCAGUAUAAAACUCUGAAACUUGUAGGUUAACUGGUGGGUGGGUUUGGAUAGUCAUGUUUCUCUACAAUUUUAUACACUUUCCCACUGUAAAUGUUCUCAUAUCAAACAGAGAACUUAGUAACGUAAUUUGAAGCUUGGGUUUAGCUUGAGAGAAACUAGACCAGGCGUGAGUGUGGUGCGGUUUAGUUCCCUGAAGCUCUGAGGUGAUGAGCUCGCCCGUGUCUCAGGAGAUAUUUUUUCCUCUGUACAUUUUUCCUCUGAACCUAGAUGUGUUGGUGUUUCUGGUUAAACUGGUCAGGCUGCAUUUUCCUCUGUGCCGUUUGAGGUAACAAACUGCACACACUCUUGUGUUUGGUGUUCGGCUGCAGUGUGCGAUCCAUGAAUGCCACAAUAAUGUGGGACAUUAAAACUGUUAAUUAAAUCUGCAGUUCAAGACCCUAGCUUCAGUCCUGACUCAGCCAGUCAACAGCAGAGCUAGGUUUUCUUUCUGUCAGAAUUUAAAACUUCACGCUGGAGAACCGCAGUGGAGCACAGAAGCAGAUGGAGCCUCCAAACAGUGUCAUACACACUUACUACCAGGGCGACAUCAACACUGUGGUGGAUGAACACUUCUUCCGCGCUCUGAAUAAAACCAGCAUGCCGAAAGACCUGAGCACCAAGAGCAGGGAGAACCGCAGAGCACCAAAACCGGAUUUUCCUGCACAGUCCUCAUUUUCUCCAUCCUGGUCCAGAAGUGGGUUAUAUCCAGGUUCCUCCUCCAGCCUGAACAUCUCUUCCUCUGCUGAAGAACCAGGCAUGUCUCAGGGGGUCAUCAUUGGUCCACUGUCAGCUGACUCAUGGGUUUACCCCAGUAGGCAGGGGGCCGGUUAUGAUCUGCCCCCACUUCACCGCCAACCUGCGAUGCCCUCCAGGGACAACACCUCCUUUCUUCACCUUCUGCACAUGGAGCGCUCUGAGGGGGAUGGACUGAUCGCACCCUCCACCAAAACAGACAUGCAGUUGGAGUGGACCACUGGGACUGCCGGCCACAGAGACAGACACAGAGGGAUGCACCUACCGGAAAAAAGUAAGGAUUUGUACUGGUUCUGAGAACGACACUUUCAUCCAUCCUUCAGGAGAACCUACAGUCAGUAAUGUAAAGGCCUCGAACCCUCAGAGACUGAGAAACAGUCCACACUGCACAACACUACUGCACUAAUAAUCUAUAUGAAGAGUGUAUUUAUGAAAUAUUGUAAUGUGUAAAAUGGCUAGAAAUAUAUCUAUUAAAUAUUUUUCAAAAUACUUUUAAAUGGAGUUUCGAAACAUAAUAAAUGUUAUAUAUGCAAUUAUAUGAAACUGGGCAAUUAGAUAUUUUGAUAUCGAAUUGUUUUAUUUCUCAGUUUAAAAUAACUUUAAUAUAAAAAAUACAUAGUCCUAUAUAAUAAUUCCCCAUAGGUUUUGAAAUUGUAGGUAUAUGUGCAAUAUAUUCUUCAAUAUAUUUUAGUGUUUGAAAUGUAUUUUGAAAUGAAAUGCAAUGUGUUUCAAAUUCAUUAAAUUACCUGUCCAUAUAUUUUUACUAUAUUGAAUAAUGUUCUGACUUUAAUCAUCUGGUUUUCUGAUCUAUAAUUUUACCUUCCUUUCCUCUUUAGCACCAUAUCUGGAAUAUACAGUGCCUUAGUGUCAACUAAUUUACCAUUGACUUAAAUUUAUUGCAGGCAGGCUGCAGGAGGUGUUUACAUUGUACACUGUUUCUUUUCAAUGCAUCUUUUGCGAUAAUGUAGUAGAGAAUCAGGAUCCAAAUUUGUCAGAAUCUGAAUCGGAGUGAAAAGGUGAAGAAAUAUAUUCAUGCGUAGUUUCAGGUCUCAGCCCAGUCAGCAUUCAGAACAACAGUAAAUCUGCCUUUAAAAUAACAAGCAGUCUGUGUCCAUCCUGGACAUUUCCAAAUGUCCAGGAUGUAUUAACCAUGGUAACACACAUGGAAACACACUCUGAAUUCCACACACCACAAAUACAUAUUUAAAACAUUAAACAACAUAUUUUUGCACUGAUUUUUUGUGAUGUCACAAAGAGCUACACAUUUGUGACAUCACACAAAAUAAGGAAAAAUAAAUAGGUUUGUAGUAUAAUUGUGCAAUUUUAAACAUUUUACAGUGUUGAAAUAUAGCAUUAAAUAGUCUUGAAUUUUUUUGAUUUGUUGUUAAACAGUAGUAGGAACAUUCUUGAAGCACCUCCCUCUUCUAAUCUAACAUCCUAUAAAUACUAUAAAAAUACUCUCCACCGCCCAAUUUCCAUUUAACUCUGUUUCUCUCCCUACAAACAAAAAAACAAUUAAAAGAUAAGAGAUAAAUAAAUCUAAGUGACCAGCUGUUUCUAAUAUUAAAUAAGUGCAGCUAAGCUCUUCUGAGUGUUAAUUAUGGUAAAAUAGUGGCAAAUGUAAUCAAUAAUAUUUCCUAUUGGGAUAUUCAAGCUUACAUAACCUCUAACUGCUUCCAUUAGUGGUGCUUCUAUACUCUUUAAUUUAUAAAACCUAUAUGGAUGUAUAAAGACUUUUUAAAUUAAUUUAAAACCAGUGGUUUGACCAGUGGUAAGAUGUCCCCCCUUAAAUGUGAGUCUUGGUCCUCCCAAGGUUUCUUCCUCCUCCUGCAGCUCUGAGGGAGUUUUUCCUUGCCUCCGCGCUCACUGGGGGUUCUGUAUUAUGUAUUUUCUAUGUUUAAUGUUUUGCCUGAUUCUUUGUCCUGUAAUCAUGUUUCUGUAAAGCUGCUUUGUGCCAACACCAGUUGUAAAAAGCGCUAUACAAAUAAAUUUGAUUUGAUUUGA